GAUGAACGCUGGCGGCGUGCCUAAUACAUGCAAGUCGAGCGAACAGACGAGGAGCUUGCUCCUCUGACGUUAGCGGCGGACGGGUGAGUAACACGUGGAUAACCUACCUAUAAGACUGGGAUAACUUCGGGAAACCGGAGCUAAUACCUGAUAAUAUAUCGAACCGCAUGGUUCAAUAGUGAAAGACGGUUUUGCUGUCACUUAUAGCUGGAUCCGCGCCGCAUUAGCUACUUGGUAAGGUAACGGCUUACCAAGGCAACGAUGCGUAGCCGACCUGAGAGGGUGAUCGGCCACACUGGAACUGAGACAGGGUCCAGACUCCUACGGGAGGCAGCAGUAGGGAAUCUUACGCAAUGGGCGAAAGCCUGACGCAGCAACGCCGCGUGAGUGAUGAAGGUCUUCGGAUCGUAAAACUCUGUUAUUAGGGAAGAACAGAUGUGUAAGUAACUAUGCACGUAUUGACGGUACCUAAACAGAAAGCAACGGCUAACUACGUG
rnacentral:rRNA from 1 species